rnacentral:rRNA from 1 species
GGCCAGACUCCUACGGGAGGCAGCAGUGAGGAAUAUUGGUCAAUGGCCGGAAGGCUGAACCAGCCAUGCCGCGUGAAGGUCAGUGCCCUAUGGGCGUUAAACUUCUUUUGUGCGGGAGCAAUAAUGGUCACGUGUGGCCAGACGAGAGUACCGUACGAAUAAGCAUCGGCUAACUCCGUGCCAGCAGCCGCGGUAAUACGGAGGAUGCGAGCGUUAUCCGGAUUUAUUGGGUUUAAAGGGUGCGUAGGCGGACGCUUAAGUCUGCGGUAAAAUUGCGGGGCUCAACCCCGUACUGCCGUUGAAGCUGCAUCCCUUGAGUGCGCGAGAAGUAUGCGGAAUGCUUGGUGUAGCGGUGAAAUGCAUAGAUAUCACGCAGAACUCCGAUUGCGAAGGCAGCAUACCGGCGCGCAACUGACGCUCAUGCACGAAAGCGUGGGUAUCGAACAGGAUUAGAUGCCCGGGUAUA